rnacentral:sRNA from 1 species
GAUGCCAGGGUUCCAAGGCCUUUCGCCCACAUGAGCUUGCUCAUCAGUGGGUGAAAGGCCUUGGGACCCGCCCAGAUAUGAGCAUAAAAGUGGGAUGUAUAUCCCACGAUAUGCGAAUAUUGGGGGGAUUGUGGGAGUGCGCAGCACGGAACAAUCCGUAGGCAU